rnacentral:rRNA from 1 species
GUGGGGAAUCUUCCGCAAUGGACGAAAGUCUGACGGAGCAACGCCGCGUGAGUGAUGAAGGUCUUCGGAUUGUAACGCUCUGUUAAUCGGGACGAAAGAGCCUAGUGUGAAUAAUGCUAGGAAGUGACGGUACCGGAAUAGAAAGCCACGGCUAACUACGUGCCAGCAGCCGCGGUAAUACGUAGGUGGCAAGCGUUGUCCGGAAUUAUUGGGCGUAAAGCGCGCGCAGGCGGAUCUGCCAGUCUGUCUUAAAAGUUCGGGGCUUAACCCCGUGAUGGGAUGGAAACUACAGAUCUAGAGGAUCGGAGAGGAAAGUGGAAUUCCUAGUGUAGCGGUGAAAUGCGUAGAUAUUAGGAAGAACACCAGUGGCGAAGGCGACUUUCUGGACGAAAACUGACGCUGAGGCGCGAAAGCCAGGGGAGCGAACGGGAUUAGAUACCCCGGUAGUCC